AUGUAUACCGGUUCCAACCUCACCUCAGAGAUAAGGAACUCUGAUUUGCUCCGCAGCAUACCACCUGAAUGUGUUCUUGAGGUAAUUCACUUUCACGGCAAUCAUCUCCUGACUCAUGGUUGCAACAGCCAUCAGCGCUUCUCUGAACAUUCCAGAGCAGCGGGGCACGCCUAAACCUUCCGCACGUGCCGCCAUCGCCCGGACGCGCUAUGGGUUAUUGCUAAGAAUCCACGUGUUCUUGCAGCACAGCUUGGUGAUAUCACAAUCACCUAG
rnacentral:rRNA from 1 species